rnacentral:rRNA from 1 species
AACGAACGCUGGCGGCAUGCCUAACACAUGCAAGUCGAACGAGACCUUCGGGUCUAGUGGCGCACGGGUGCGUAACGCGUGGGAACCUGCCCUUAGGUUCGGAAUAACUCCCCGAAAGGGGUGCUAAUACCGGAUAAUGUCUUCGGACCAAAGAUUUAUCGCCUUUGGAUGGGCCCGCGUUGGAUUAGCUAGUUGGUAGGGUAAAAGCCUACCAAGGCGACGAUCCAUAGCUGGUCUGAGAGGAUAAUCAGCCACACUGGGACUGAGACACGGCCCAGACUCCUACGGGAGGCAGCAGUGGGGAAUAUUGGACAAUGGGCGAAAGCCUGAUCCAGCAAUGCCGCGUGAGUGAUGAAGGCCUUAGGGUUGUAAAGCUCUUUUACCCGGGAUGAUAAUGACAGUACCGGGAGAAUAAGCGCCGGCUAACUCCGUG